GUAUACCUGGAUAGCACAUCCGUCUAGACCGGACGGUCGGAGUUCGAAUUCUGGAGAGGACACUAGGCAGUUUUCACUUCUUCUGCAACGAUAAACCUGAUGAACAUAUAAUCUUGUGAAAGGGACUAAGACGAAAUUUGAAUAACAAAGAAUGCAGAUCCCGAUAUUAUGUUCUGAUUUUUGGAUUGUAUCCUCUUGUAUUCUGAGUUAUUUACUUAUAUCUGUAAGCCUUAUGAAAUACGUCAGGGUACACGAG